GACGAACGCUGGCGGCGUGCUUAACACAUGCAAGUCGAACGAAGUGGCGAACGGGUGAGUAACGCGUAAUCAACCUGCCCUUCAGAGGGGGACAACAGUUGGAAACGACUGCUAAUACCGCAUACUGAAGGAUGGGUUUGCGUCUGGUUAGCUAGUUGGAGGGGGAACGGCCCACCAAGGCGAUGAUCAGGAGCCGGUCUGGGAGGGUGAACGGCCACAAUGGGACUGGGAAACGGCCCAGACUCCUACGGGAGGGAGCAGUGGGGAAUCUUCCGAAAUGGACGAAAGUCUGAAGGCGCAACGCCGCGGGAGUGGUGACGGCCUUCGGGUUGUAAAGCUCUGUUAAUCGGGACGCGGUACCGGAAUAGAAAGCCACGGCUAACUACGUGCCAGCCGCCGCGGUAAUUC
rnacentral:rRNA from 1 species